rnacentral:rRNA from 1 species
GUCUGACCUCGGAUCAGGUGGGAUUACCCGCUGAACUUAAGCAUAUCAAUAAGCGGAGGAAAAGAAACUAACAAGGAUUCCCCUAGUAACGGCGAGUGAAGCGGGAUGAGCUCAAAUUUGAAAUCUGGUAGUCUUUGGCUGCCCGAGUUGUAAUCUAGAGAAGUGUUUUCUGUGCUGGACUGUGUACAAGUUUCCUGGAUACGGAACAUCAUAGAGGGUGAGAAUCCCGUCCUUGACACAGGCUCCCAGUGCUUUGUGAUGCGCUCUCAACGAGUCGAGUUGUUUGGGAUUGCAGCUCAAAAUGGGAGGUAAAUUCCUUCUAAAGCUAAAUAUUGG